rnacentral:rRNA from 1 species
UACGUAGGUGGCGAGCGUUGUCCGGAUUUACUAGGCGUAAAGGGAGCGUAGGCGGACUUUUAAGUGAGAUGUGAAAUACCCGGGCUCAACUUGGGUGCUGCAUUUCAAACUGGAAGUCUAGAGUGCAGGAGAGGAGAAUGGAAUUCCUAGUGUAGCGGUGAAAUGCGUAGAGAUUAGGAAGAACACCAGUGGCGAAGGCGAUUCUCUGGACUGUAACUGACGCUGAGGCUCGAAAGCGUGGGGAGCAAACAGGAUUAGAUACCCGCGUA